rnacentral:rRNA from 1 species
UACGAAGGGGGCUAGCGUUGCUCGGAAUCACUGGGCGUAAAGCGCACGUAGGCGGAUUGCUAAGUCAGGGGUGAAAUCCUGGAGCUCAACUCCAGAACUGCCUUUGAUACUGGCGACCUUGAGUCCGGGAGAGGUGAGUGGAACUGCGAGUGUAGAGGUGAAAUUCGUAGAUAUUCGCAAGAACACCAGUGGCGAAGGCGGCUCACUGGCUCGGUACUGACGCUGAUGCGCGAAAGCGUGGGGAGCAAACGGG